rnacentral:rRNA from 1 species
AGUUGGAAACGACUGCCAAUACCCAAUAUGGCGAGAGUGAAAAUAUUUUGCCUGGAGAGGAGCUCGCGUCCGAUUAGUUAGUUGGUGGGGUAAAAGCCUACCAAGGCAGCGAUCGGUAGCUGGUCUGAGAGGAUGAGCAGCCACACUGGGACUGAGACACGGCCCAGACUCCUACGGGAGGCAGCAGUGGGGAAUUUUCCGCAAUGGGCGAAAGUGACGGAGCAAUACCGCGUGAGGGAGGAAGGCUUUUGGGUUGUAAACCUCUUUUUUUAAGGAAGAAGAAAGUGACGGUACUUAAAGAAUCAGCAUCGGCUAACUCCGUGCCAGCAGCCGCGGUAAUACGGAGGAUGCAAGCGUUAUCCGGAAUCAUUGGGCGUAAAGCGUCCGCAGUGGUCAUUCAAGUCUGCUGUUAAAGACAGAAGCUUAACUUCUGAGCAGCAGUGGAAACUGGAUGACUAGAGUAUGGUAGGGGUUGAGGGAAUUCCCAGUGUAGCGGUGAAAUGCGUAGAUAUUGGGAAGAACACCAGUGGCGAAGGGCUCAACUGGGCCAUAACUGACACUCAGGGACGAAAGCUAGGGUAG